AACGAACGCUGGCGGCAGGCUUAACACAUGCAAGUCGAACGCGUGUAGCAAUACACGAGUGGCGCACGGGUGAGUAACGCGUGGAUAUCUGCCUUUUGGUUCGGAAUAACCCCGGGAAACUGGGGCUAAUACCGGAUGGUUCCUUCGGGAUAAAGAUUUAUCGCCAAAAGAUGAGUCCGCGUACGAUUAGCUAGUUGGUGAGGUAAUAGCUCACCAAGGCGACGAUCGUUAGCUGGUCNGAGAGGACGAUCAGCCACACUGGGACUGAGACACGGCCCAGACUCCUACGGGAGGCAGCAGUGGGGAAUAUUGGACAAUGGGGGCAACCCUGAUCCAGCCAUGCCGCGUGAGUGAUGAAGGCCUUGGUU
rnacentral:rRNA from 1 species